UACGGGGGGGGCAAGCGUUGUUCGGAAUUACUGGGCGUAAAGGGCGCGUAGGCGGCCUGCUAAGUCACACGUGAAAUCCCUCGGCUCAACCGGGGAACUGCGUGUGAUACUGGCGGGCUUGAAUUCGGGAGAGGGAUGUGGAAUUCCAGGUGUAGCGGUGAAAUGCGUAGAUAUCUGAAGGAACACCGGUGGCGAAGGCGGCAUCCUGGACCGAGAUUGACGCUGAGGCGCGAAAGCUAGGGGAGCAAACGGG
rnacentral:rRNA from 1 species